rnacentral:rRNA from 1 species
CUAUACAGACUCUGCGCAUAUCAAUAAGCGGAGGAAAAGAAACUAACAAGGAUUCCCCUUAGUAACGGCGAGUGAAGCGGGAAGAGCUCAAAUUUGAAAUCUUCAAGGUUUGACCUUGACGAAUUGUAGUUUAAAGAAGUGUUUUCGGUUAGAGGAGUAGUAAAAGUUCUUUGGAAUAGGACAUCAUAGAGGGUGAGAAUCCCGUAUUUGACUAUUCUUUCUAGCUUUGUGAUACGCUUUCAAAGAGUCGGAUUGUUUGGGAAUGCAGUCCAAAAUGGGUGGUAAAUUUCAUCUAAAGCUAAAUAUUGGCGAGAGACCGAUAGCGAACAAGUACCGUGAGGGAAAGAUGAAAAGUACUUUGAAAAGGGAGUUAAACAGUACGUGAAAUUGUCAAAAGGGAAGCGUUUGACACCAGUGUUGUUUUUCCGAAAAUCAAUUAAAAAUUGAUUCAUGCCAGGUUGUAUUGACCUUAUCAGCUUGCAAUUUGGUUUUGGGUCUCUUUUUGAUGCACUUUUCGGUUAACAAGUCAACAUCAAUUUCCUUUGCUGUAAAAAGGUAAGAGGAAGGUGGCUUCAAUUUCGGUUGAAGUGUUUAUAGCCUUUUAUCUCUGCAGUCGGGGAGAUUGAGGUCUGCAGCGUAGAUCCUUCGGGGCUAGAUACAUUUAUGCUAAGUUAUAGCUUUUCAUAGACAACUUGUUGACUAUGUUAAGUCUUGUAGCUUACUCGCUUAUGCUAUUUUACCUACGCUUAGGAUGUUGACGAGACUGUCGAUCUCAUCUAUACAUGACUCUGCGCAUAUCAAUAAGCGGAGGAAAAGGCGUAUUACCUACGCUUAGGAUGUUGACGAGACUGUCGAUCUC